rnacentral:rRNA from 1 species
GACGAACGCUGGCGGCGUGCCUAAUACAUGCAAGUCGAACGCAGUGGGGACGGGUGAGUAACACUUGGUUAACCUCCCAUCAAAGUGGAUAACACUUGGUAACAGGUGCUAAACCGGUACUGAUGGCUGGACCCGCUGUGCAGUAGCGAGUUGGUGAGGUAACGGCUCACCAAGGCAACGAUGCAUAGCCGACCUGAGAGGGUGAUCGGCCACACUGGGACUGAGACACGGCCCAGACUCCUACGGGAGGCAGCAGUAGGGAAUCUUCGGCAAUGGACGAAAGCCUGACCGAGCAACGCCGCGUGAGUGAAGAAGGUGUUCGGAUCGUAAAACUCUGUUGUUAGAGAAGCGGUAUCUAACCAGAAAGCCACGGCUAACUACGUGCCAGCAGCCGCGGUAAUAC